AGUGGUAUAGCUCAGUGGUAAAGCAUGUGCUUAUUAGCAGGCAUGGGAUCCUGGGUUCAACCCCCGGUACCUUCA
rnacentral:tRNA from 1 species